AGGACGAACGCUGGCGGCGUGCCUAACACAUGCAAGUCGAACGGAGCCCGCAAGGGUUCAGUGGCGAACGGGUGCGUAACACGUGAGGAACUUGUCCAUCGGCGGGGGAUAGCCGGCCCAACGGCCGGGUAAUACCGCGUACGCCGUCCGGAGCGCAUGCUCUGGCCGGGAAAGCAGCAAUGCACCGAUGGAGAGCCUCGCGGCCUAUCAGCUAGUUGGUGGGGUAAUGGCCUACCAAGGCGACGACGGGUAGCUGGUCUGAGAGGAUGACCAGCCACAUUGGGACUGAGACACGGCCCAGACUCCUACGGGAGGCAGCAGUGGGGAAUAUUGCGCAAUGGGCGAAAGCCUGACGCAGCGACGCCGCGUGUGGGAUGACGGCCUUCGGGUUGUAACCACUGUCGCGAGGGACGAAGAUCUGACGGUACCUCGAAGGAGCACCGGCUAACUCUGUGCCAGCAGCCGCGGU
rnacentral:rRNA from 1 species